GUGUCACAGCACGGCCUGGAGUCACACACAGUCUGGAGUGUCACACACAAGUCUGGAGUGUCACACACAUUCUGGAGUGUCACACACAGCCUGGAGUGUCACAGCACCAUCUCGGCUCCUGCCCCAGUGACCAGGUCCAGAAGUUCAGCAGAUUCCAAGGCACCAGCAGGGCUGGGCAUCAUUCUGGGACAUCCAUGGGAUGGCAGCUGUGUCCAGAGCAGGGGAAGCCCUGCGGGAGGGAUUUCCAGCCUCCUCUGCCUGCAGGAGCUGCUCCACGCCUCACUUGGGCUCCCAGGAAGAGGAGAAACCCCAGCCCUGUGUCAGAUCCUGGAGCAUAGGACAUUUUUGGGAGCAAAUCCCUGAAGUGGAUUUUUGUGGCGACACCCAGGCUGCGGCUCCAGUGCCAUCUCAUGGGGAUCCCGGGGUGCUGCAGCCCUGCACGAGCCAAAGCUUUUUGGGGCCACAUCCAGACCCUUGUGGAGCAGAGCUGGCCAUCUGGGACAGACAUGGGAAGGUGAUACCGGGGGACACCUGGAUUUGGAGGUGGUGGCACCAGAGAAAGAACACACAGCCACCCCUAGGACCCUCUGCCUGUAGGAAAAAAAAAAAAAAAAAUUAAAGAAAAAUCAGAAAAAAUUGCAAUUUUACUAGAAAUGGAUGCUUUUGCCUAAGAUUUGGGGGAUGCAGAAGGGGCUGGGAACAGCCUGAUGGAGCACCCCUGCAUCCCAGCAUCUCUGUGAGCACCCACGCCCGUGCUGGAACAAAAUGCUCAGGCUGGAGAUUUUCCCAGUGAU
rnacentral:lncRNA from 12 species